GGAUGCGAUCAUACCAGCACUAAAGCACCGGAUCCCAUCAGAAAUCCGAAGUUAAGCGUGCUUGGGCGAGAGUAGUACUAGGAUGGGUGACCUCCUGGGAAGUCCUCGUGUUGCAUUCC
rnacentral:rRNA from 1 species